rnacentral:rRNA from 1 species
CUGCUGCCUCCCGUAGGAGUCUGGUCCGUGUCUCAGUACCAGUGUGGGGGACCUUCCUCUCAGAACCCCUACGCAUCGUCGGUUAGGUGGGCCGUUACCCCGCCUACUGCCUAAUGCGCCGCAUGCCCAUCCCUGUCCGGCCGAAGCCUUUCCUGCCUCCGGGGAUGCCCCGGUGGCAUGUACGCGGGUUUAGCCCGCCUUUCGGCGGGUUGUCCCCCUGACAGGGGCAGGUUGCAUACGUGUUACUCACCCGGUGCGCCGGUCGCCGGCGGAGAAA